AUCCCUCACAGUGCUGCCCCGCAUUGCUGAGGGAGCAGAGUGCACGUGUAAAAAGGGAACAGAAGAAGAUUAAUGUGUCAUUAAUCUCUUCUACAGGUAUGUGUUUUUAUUUUAAGUUAUACGUUUUAUCUCUGUUUAGUCACUCCACCCCACUACACUGUGUUAAUGUGGCCACCAGGUGGCAUUGUAUGAGAUUUGCUCUGAUUGUUAAGAAGAGCAUUGUUAAAAACGUAGUUUUAAAAUGUUUUUCAUUGUUACACAGUGCUGCCCCGCAUUGCUGAGGGAGCAGAGUGCACGUGUAAAAAGGGAACAGAAGAAGAUUAAUGUGUCAUUAAUCUCUUCUACAGUGUUGCUUCACAUAGUCGAGGAAAUAAAUGCUGGAGAACGGUGAA